AUUGAACGCUGGCGGCGUGCCUAACACAUGCAAGUCGAGCGGUAACAGGUGUAGCAAUACAUGCUGACGAGCGGCGAACGGGUGAGUAAUGCUUCGGAAUCUGCCCAAUGGUGGGGAAUAACCAGCCGAAAGGUUGGCUAAUACCGCAUACGUCCUACGGGAGAAAGCAGGGGAUCGUAAGACCUUGCGCCGAUGGAUGAGCCGAAGCCGGAUUAGCUAGUUGGUAGGGUAACGGCCUACCAAGGCGACGAUCCGUAGCUGGUCUGAGAGGACGACCAGACGCACUGGGAGUGAGCCACGGCCCAGACUCCUACGGGAGGCAGCAGUGGGGAAUAUUGGACAAUGGGGGAAACCCUGAUCCAGCGACGCCGCGUGUGUGAAGAAGGCCUGCGGGUUGUAAAGCACUUUUAGUGGGGAUGAAAAGCUCAGGGCUAAUACCUCUGGGUCUUGACCUAACCCACAGAAAAAGCACCGGCUAACUCUGUGCCAGCCGCCGCAGUAAUAC
rnacentral:rRNA from 1 species